rnacentral:rRNA from 1 species
UACGGAGGGUGCAAGCGUUAUCCGGAUUUACUGGGUUUAAAGGGUGUGUAGGCGGUUUUGUAAGUCCGAGGUGAAAUCUUCCUGCUUAACAGGAAAACUGCCUUGGAUACUAUAGAACUUGAAUUUCGUGGAGGUAAGCGGAAUAUGACAUGUAGCGGUGAAAUGCUUAGAUAUGUCAUGGAACACCAAUUGCGAAGGCAGCUUACUACGCGUAUAUUGACGCUGAGGCACGAAAGCGUGGGUAGCGAACAGG